rnacentral:misc_RNA from 1 species
GUGAGUCAUCGAAUCUUUGAACGCAUAUUGCGCCCCUUGGUAUUCCGGGGGGCACACCUGUUCGAGCGCCAUUUCGACCCUCAAGCAUAGCUUGGUGUUGGGCAAGGUCCCUUUAGUGGGACCUGCCCGUAACUUGUAGGCGGCCGCCGCCCGAACCCCUAGCGUAGCAAGCUUACAUGCAUUCGCUCCGGGACACGGUUUUGCAGCGUAUAGUUCGCCAAAAACAAUCCAUAAGGUUUGGCCUCGAAUCAGGUGGGGAUACCCGCUGAACUUAAGCAUAUCAAUAAGCGGAGGA